rnacentral:miRNA from 1 species
UUGUUGGAAGAAAUGUGUCACUGGGGGUAGGCUUUGAGCUCAGAGCCUUGCUCCUCUCCCAGUUCUCUUUUACUUCAUGUGAUCUGCUGAUCAU